AGGACGAACGCUGGCGGCGUGCUUAACACAUGCAAGUCGAACGGUGAAGGAGAGCUUGCUCUCUGGAUCAGUGGCGAACGGGUGAGUAACACGUGAGUAACCUGCCCUUGACUCUGGGAUAAGCGUUGGAAACGACGUCUAAUACCGGAUACGAGCUUCAGUCGCAUGGCUAGGAGCUAGGGAAAAGAAUUUCGGUACAAGGGAUGGACUUCGCGGUCUAUCAGCUAGUUGGUGAGGUAAUGGCUCACCAAGGCGACGACGGGUAGCCGGCCUAGAGAGGGUGACCGGCCACACGUGGGACUGGAGACCACCGGCCCAGACUCCUACGGGAGCGAGCAGGUGGGAAUAGUUGCAACAAGUGGGACGC
rnacentral:rRNA from 1 species